rnacentral:lncRNA from 1 species
GGGGUGGGGGGUGGAAAUGGAAGGGUAGGGGGUCGCGUUGGGGGGAGCAGCAUCACCCCACCCCUCACCCCCUGCUUCCUGAUCUCUGCAUCCUGCCUGGGACCCUGUCAUACUCUCCUGGUGGCUCCCUCCCUGUGAGAAUCAAGCCCAGGAUCCCUUCUCCACAGCCAGCCAGCACCUUGGGGGGUUUGCAAGGAGCCAUUGGAAUGAGAGCAAGUGAAGGCGGGAGGGGAGUGGAGGACCGCAAAGUGCUGGCAGAGUGAUGAAUGGGUGGUGGCCCCCGGGGGCCUGGAGGAUCCUUGUAAAGAAACUCAGAGAUGAAAUGGAGAUGAGAGAGGGGUUGUAGAUAUGACGUGGGCGGUGGCUUGAUGGGGUUCAGGACUUCCUGAGCAUUUGCUUUGAGACAGCGAAGCAUCUAGAGAAGCCGUGAGGGUCAGAUGGACUUGUAAGGACAGAAGCCAGGAAAGACUGGACUGGCCAGAAAUGGGGGCACCCACCUCUGUACUCUUCUGUCUGCCCAACUGGGCCAGACAGCUCGAGUUGGGGCAGUCCCAAAGUGACAGCGUGUCCCCCGAGGAAGACUCCUCAGUCUUGACACCGCCUUCCUGCGGGCUGAGCGCCCUUGACCUGAGAACACUCCCUCGCACUGGUGCCUCUUCCCUGGAUUGAGGGUCUGGGGAGCCCGGAUCCCGCCUGCUGAUGGUCUCAAGUUUGCAAAUGUUUGUGAAGUGAAUGCAAUUUAUCAGGAAUCUACAACCUUAGGCUCUGACUUUUAAUGCCAAGGGC